ACGACGGAAGGUGAGGGACAAAUGGAUAUAUUGGUGGAAUCUGAACCUGGGUUCUAGCAGUGUAUUGGUGAUGUCCUAGCCUGCUUGCCAUGUUGCUCGUGAAGUGAGAUUUGUUAUGACUUGGCCCUGAUUGAUUGAACCUUGUUGAUUAGUAUUGCUGGUUUGCACAAGUUAGGAUCAGAUUAGGUGAUCAGAACUACUGUUAAGCUAGAUGUCUAGUGUUCUAUUUGAUGCACAAGAUGCAUUAGUUGGUGUAGCUCAUUUGCAGGACAACAAGCAUCAGAAUGUUGAGGACAGAGAGCUUGUGUUGGUCCCUUUUGAUAAUUCCAAGCACAGCUGCCUUGCAUGAAUCACACUCGUAGCAUCACAAGUAGUUCUAAGGUGCUGAUAUAAGAAUUCACCUCUGCCUCUAGCUGAAAUAGGUUCUCAUGGCAAAAAGAGCAAAGCAAAUGAAAGCAAGUGUAAAACUCACAAGUAAAAUGGUGCAGUUGUGAGUACGGUUAUAAUUUUCAAUACUUGUAAAUGACAACACAUUUAUUUUCAUAUUAGUGUUUGACUAUUUGUAUUUGAAUAUGGUACGAUGAC